rnacentral:rRNA from 1 species
UACGUAGGUGGCGAGCGUUAUCCGGAAUUAUUGGGCGUAAAGAGCGCGCAGGUGGUUGAUUAAGUCUGAUGUGAAAGCCCACGGCUUAACCGUGGAGGGUCAUUGGAAACUGGUCGACUUGAGUGCAGAAGAGGGAAGUGGAAUUCCAUGUGUAGCGGUGAAAUGCGUAGAGAUAUGGAGGAACACCAGUGGCGAAGGCGGCUUCCUGGUCUGUAACUGACACUGAGGCGCGAAAGCGUGGGGAGCAAACAGGAUUAGAUACCCCUGUA